rnacentral:rRNA from 1 species
AAUACGUAGGGCGCAAGCGUUAUCCGGAAUUAUUGGGCGUAAAGAGCUCGUAGGCGGUUUGUCGCGUCUGCUGUGAAAGACCGGGGCUCAACUCCGGUUCUGCAGUGGGUACGGGCAGACUAGAGUGCAGUAGGGGAGACUGGAAUUCCUGGUGUAGCGGUGAAAUGCGCAGAUAUCAGGAGGAACACCGAUGGCGAAGGCAGGUCUCUGGGCUGUAACUGACGCUGAGGAGCGAAAGCAUGGGGAGCGAACAG